rnacentral:rRNA from 1 species
UACAGAGGGGGCAAGCGUUGUUCGGAAUUACUGGGCGUAAAGGGCGCGUAGGCGGCCUGCUAAGUCGAACGUGAAAUCCCCGAGCUCAACUCGGGAACUGCGUCCGAUACUGGCAGGCUUGAAUCCGGGAGAGGGAUGCGGAAUUCCAGGUGUAGCGGUGAAAUGCGUAGAUAUCAGGAGGAACACCGGUGGUGUAGACGGCUUUCUGGACCGACACUGACGCUGAGACACGAAAGCGUGGGUAGCAAACAGG